rnacentral:rRNA from 1 species
AACUAACGCUGGCGGCGUGCCUAACACAUGCAAGUCGUACGAGAAAGCCGGCUUCGGCUGGUGAGUAAAGUGGCGCACGGGUGAGUAACGCGUGGAUAAUCUGCCCUUAAGUGUGGAAUAACGUACCGAAAGGUGCGCUAAUACCGCAUAAUGCCUGGCAACACAAGUUGUCCGGCCAAAGAAGGCCUCUGUUUACAAGCUUUCGCUUCAGGAUGAGUCCGCGUACCAUUAGCUUGUUGGUGGGGUAAUGGCCUACCAAGGCUGCGAUGGUUAGCUGGUCUGAGAGGAUGAUCAGCCACACUGGAACUGAGACACGGUCCAGACUCCUACGGGAGGCAGCAGUGAGGAAUAUUGCGCAAUGGGGGCAACCCUGACGCAGCAAACGCCGCGUGAGUGAGGAAGGUUUUCGGACUGUAAAGCUCUGUCGAGCGGGAAGAAGUGUACCAUGGCUAAUAUCCAUGAUAUUUGACGGUACCGCUAGAGG